rnacentral:rRNA from 1 species
CCGUAACUAUAACGGUCCUAAGGUAGCGAAAUUCCUUGUCGGGUAAGUUCCGACCUGCACGAAUGGCGUAAUGAUGGCCAGGCUGUCUCCACCCGAGACUCAGUGAAAUUGAACUCGCUGUGAAGAUGCAGUGUACCCGCGGCAAGACGGAAAGACCCCGUGAACCUUUACUAUAGCUUGACACUGAACAUUGAGCCUUGAUGUGUAGGAUAGGUGGGAGGCUUUGAAGUGUGGACGCCAGUCUGCAUGGAGCCGACCUUGAAAUACCACCCUUUAAUGUUUGAUGUUCUAACGUGGACCCGUAA